UGCCUCGUGACCAGGGCGUCACGUGACGCCCCUCUCCGCGCUCGCCGCUCUGGGGCCCGGCGCUCUCCCGGGGAAGGAGGGCGACUCUGAUGAGCUACUAACGCAGCGUGUCUGGUGGCACAAACUCCGGGGACCGCUCCUGAGAGGCGUGGAGGCUCGUCGCCCAGAAAUGUGUAGGGCGAUGAGGCGCUGGGACUGGACGGGCUCCCGUGUGACGGGCGCGGCCACGCCCCUGCCGCCCCGGGGGCCCGGCUGGAUCUUCUUGGAGAUCGUUGCGCCCCGUUGGGCACCCGGUUUUCGCUCUUGAAAGUUGCUAGGCAAAGCAUUUUCGGUUAUUUUGUUCUUCGCCGCGACGGGAGGGCUAACAGAAGAAGGAGAAGGAAAAGAUCUAAAGUGAGGAGUGUCGUGGGAGGUCCUGAAACACCAAUUAGAAGACCGCGGUGUCUAAAUAUUGAAACGUGUUGCCUCCCAAAGCUGCUGAGAUGUACUGGCAAAGGUAGCCCUGCGAUGUGAUUUCUCUCCAGCAUCUCAGAUUUUAGAGAAAGAUCCAAACGACAUGGAUCCUUGUGCUCAAGGGUAAUGCAGUGCGCUCUGGUGAGACAUCAGGCACCAGCACGCAGGCCUUCUGGUGGAUCCCCGGAAAAACCCUCCAAGAUGGUGGGCAAAGGGUACAUCCCAGCCUAUAGCUCCCUCCUGGCACCUCUCAAAUGCAUUUACAAAUGAGGAAGGCAAGGGAGAAUGAUGGUUCUGCUAGCAACAGGUGACCUUCUCUUCCACCUGAAAGCACAUCUCAUUUUGGACCAGUUUCAAGCAGCUUGUGGCACCUGAGCUGGACAGCACACAGCUAGAGAAUGACCGUGGGGAGAAUGGCUAAGAAAGUGUGGAGGACAAGAUCACUGGAGGCAUGGAGGUUAAAGAAUGGAGAGGUCAUCUCUGUAGAUAGUUAAAUCACCAAGAUUUAGGACAGGAGCGGUUAGGACAAGUGACAAUGAGCCAGGAGUGGAAAUCUUCUAGGAACAAGUAAGAGGGAUUAGCAGACAGUUGCAACCAGGAGCUGGAGAGUUUGGGGAAGGUGGGAGGGGUGGUAAUCUGGAAGGAAACAUGAGGAGCAAGGGUGGUGCCAUAGAGGGCUGGGCUCCAGCCAGAGCAAGUCCAUGGAGAAGACUUAGAAGAGAGAGAUUCUCUUGCUCAUGGUGUAUAUUAAGGUGUAGGGGGCACAGUAAAGGCCUUUGGUAGUCGAGGAGGGAUAGAGGAUGGGGCUGGAUUCCAAGAUGGGCAGAGCUUUAUGGGGAUUAGGGUCCCUAGGGAUGGUCCAAAAGCCUGGGCAGUUUUGCUCUAUGAGGAGAACAGAACUGAACAGUUAACAAUGCUCUUUUGACCUGACUUACAGCCUUUUCCCAUUUCCAUGGUAUAAAUACUCCUACGAUGGCUCAUUUUAAGCUACCAAUGGUUUAACAACCAGAAUGCAGAAUGUCAGAAAAUGGAGCAAUCAGCUCUCCCAACAGUACACGCUGUUCCCAGAAGUGGAGCACUAGGUACGGGGGAUUUUGGGAGAGGCCCUGGUUGUCUCCAGAGAAGACAUGGUGGGAUGUGAGAGUAGGGGGCAGAAGUAGAGGAGGUCUUACAAGAAUGAGAAGUCUAGCCCCCAUUAAACUCUGUCAUGGAGCAUGGAGAAAUGGGUGGCAUAUUGAAAGGACUUCCAAUAUGGAUUUUUCUGUAUCUUUGUGAUGAGUCACCCAGAUUCUUCUUCCAGGAAGGACCUGUCACCCCAGCUGCUGGGAGUGCCUUCAGCUGUCAGCCCCUUCAAGGAUUGCUCAGCUGCAAAGAGCCACCUCAUCCAAAGUCAUGACCGUUCCACCAGGCAGCUCCCUUCAGUGAUAUAUCAAUGCAGGGGCAAAGAGAUCAGCCAACUCCACCCAACUGAGGACACUGCUCAUGGGUCAUUCCAGCUCAGGCAUUCCCUGUGGGAGCUAUCACCAUGUCUGUGUCAAAGUCUUCCUUCUUUCUCUGACCUGGCCUCCCCCACCUCCCUUCCACAGGUAUUGAUCCAAGGGCCAGUCCUUAAUAAAUACCCCAUUGCUCACUAACUCCAUUUCAGACUCUGUUUCUGGAAGGACCCAACUUGCAAUGCUCUCUGCCAUGGAGACAAUUUCUUUAGGAUCUCAGCCAGUUCAAUCGAGUGGAAAGCUGCCUUGUUUAAAUUUGCCUCUCUUUGAUAACUGGGUGGGGGGGGGGACUGAAUUUUUUUUUUUUUUAACAAGCAUUGGCUGAAUUACUUCCUGUGUGGAUUGCCUUCUUAAAUUACUUCCUUUGCCUGUUUUUCUAUUGAAGUGUUUGUCUUUUUCUCGUUGGUAAGAGUGCGUAUAUGUAUUACCGUCAUAAAGAUACCAAUCUUUGCUUUUUGUGUAUGGUUCAAGAAAUGUUCUCAGGUUUUCCAGUCUGUGGUGUGUGUUUCUUUUGUGGUUGAGAGCACACACCCAGUCACACUGCCCUAUCGCUUCCUAACUGUGUGACUUUGGGUACAUUCCUUCCCCUACAAGAGCCUUUAUUUUUCAUCUGUAAUUGGAAGUCGAGUUAACACUUUGUAGGCUUGUUACGGGGAUCGGAUGAUUUAAUAAAGUGCUUAAAACAGUU